rnacentral:rRNA from 1 species
UACGAAGGGGGCUAGCGUUGUUCGGAAUUACUGGGCGUAAAGCGCGUGUAGGCGGGUCUUUAAGUCAGGGGUGAAAUGCCAGGGCUCAACCUUGGAACUGCCUUUGAUACUGGAGACCUUGAGUCCGGGAGAGGUGAGUGGAAUUGCGAGUGUAGAGGUGAAAUUCGUAGAUAUUCGCAAGAACACCAGUGGCGAAGACGGCUCACUGGCCCGGAACUGACGCUGAGACGCGAAAGCGUGGGGAGCAAACAGG